GAUGAACGCUAGCGGGAGGCUUAAUACAUGCAAGUCGCACGGCAGCAUUGAUAUAGUAAUAUAUUAGAUGGCGAGUGGCGCACGGGUGAGUAACGCGUACACAACCUACCCUUAAGAGGGGGAUAACUCAGAGAAAUUUGGGAUAAUACCCCAUAAUAUCGGAGAUAUGCAUAUAUUUUUGAUUAAAGUUACGGCGCUUAAGGAUGGGUGUGCGUUAGAUUAGGUAGUUGGUGAGGUAACGGCUCACCAAGCCGACGAUCUAUAAGGGGCGUGAGAGCGUGGUCCCUCACACGGGUACUGAGACACGGACCCGACUCCUACGGGAGGCAGCAGUAAGGAUAUUGGACAAUGGGCGAAAGCCUGAACCCAGCAACGCCGCGUGAGGGAUGAAGGCCCUUCGGGGUCGGUAAAACCCUCGUUUUUCUGGGAGAAGAGACAAGGACGGUAUCCCCAGGGAAUAAGUCUCGGCUAACUACGUGCCAGCAGCCGCGGUAAU
rnacentral:rRNA from 1 species